rnacentral:rRNA from 1 species
AUUGAACGCUGGCGGCAGGCCUAACACAUGCAAGUCGAACGAGUGGCGGACGGGUGAGUAAUGUCUGGGACACUGCCUGAUGGCGGGGGAUAACUACUGGAAACGGUAGCUAAUACCGCAUACCAUCAGAUGUGCCCAGAGGGGAUUAGAUGGUUGGUGGGGUAACGACUCACCACGGCGACGAUCCCUAGCUGGUCUGAGAGGAUGACCAGCCACACCGGAACUGAGAGACGGUCCAGACUCCUACGGGAGGCAGCAGGGGGGAAUAUUGCACAAUGGGCGCAAGCCUGAUGCAGCCAUGCCGCGUGUAUGAAGAAGGCCUUCGGGUUGUAAAGUACUUUCAGCGGGGAGGCGUUACUCGCAGAAGAAGCACCGGCUAACUCCGUGCCAGCAGCCGCGGUAAUAC